AACGAACGCUGGCGGCAUGCCUAACACAUGCAAGUCGAACGAAGGCUUCGGCCUUAGUGGCGCACGGGUGAGUAACGCGUGGGAAACUGCCUAUUGGUGGGGAAUAACGACGGGAAACUGUCGCUAAUACCGCAUAAGCCCUUCGGGGGAAAGAUUUAUCGCCGAUAGAUGUGCCCGCGUCCGAUUAGCUAGUUGGUGAGGUAAUGGCUCACCAAGGCGACGAUCGGUAGCUGGUCUGAGAGGAUGAUCAGCCACACUGGGACUGAGACACGGCCCAGACUCCUACGGGAGGCAGCAGUGGGGAAUAUUGGACAAUGGGCGAAAGCCUGAUCCAGCAAUGCCGCGUGAGUGAUGAAGGCCUUAGGGUUGUAAAGCUCUUUCGGGUGGGACGAUGAUGACGGUACCACCAGAAGAAGCCCCGGCUAACUUCGUGCCAGCCGCCGCAGUAA
rnacentral:rRNA from 1 species